UCGAGAAUUUUUCUCAAUGGGGGAAACCCUGAAGGAGCGACGCCGCGUGGAGGAUGAAGGUCUUCGGAUUGUAAACUCCUGUCAUUGGGGAACAAUGCGUAAAUAUUAACUGUAUUUACGUUGAUAGUACCCGAAGAGGAAGGGACGGCUAACUCUGUGCCAGCAGCCGCGGUAAUACAGAGGUCCCAAGCGUUGUUCGGAUUCAUUGGGCGUAAAGGGUGCGUAGGCGGCGCGGUAAGUCGGGUGUGAAAUCUCGGAGCUUAACUCCGAAACUGCAUUCGAUACUGCCGUGCUUGAGGACUGGAGAGGAGACUGGAAUUUACGGUGUAGCGGUGAAAUGCGUAGAUAUCGUAAGGAAGACCAGUGGCGAAGGCGGGUCUCUGGACAGUUCCUGACGCUGAGGCACGAAGGCCAGGGGAGCAAACGGGAUUAGAUACCCCCGUAGUCC
rnacentral:rRNA from 1 species